UGAGGAAUAUUGGUCAAUGGGCGAGAGCCUGAACCAGCCAAGUAGCGUGCAGGAUGACGGUCCUAUGGGUUGUAAACUGCUUUUAUGUGGGGAUAAAGUUCGUGACGUGUCAUGCAUUGCAGGUACCACAUGAAUAAGGACCGGCUAAUUCCGUGCCAGCAGCCGCGGUAAUACGGAAGGUCCGGGCGUUAUCCGGAUUUAUUGGGUUUAAAGGGAGCGUAGGCUGUCUAUUAAGCGUGUUGUGAAAUUUACCGGCUCAACCGGUGGCUUGCAGCGCGAACUGGUCGACUUGAGUAUGCAGGAAGUAGGCGGAAUUCAUGGUGUAGCGGUGAAAUGCUUAGAUAUCAUGACGAACUCCGAUUGCGCAGGCAGCUUACUGUAGCAUAACUGACGCUGAUGCUCGAAAGUGCGGGUAUCAAACAGG
rnacentral:rRNA from 1 species